rnacentral:rRNA from 2 species
UUGAUUGAUGGUGCUUGCACCUGAUUGAUUUUGGUCGCCAACGAGUGGCGGACGGGUGAGUAACACGUAGGUAACCUGCCCAGAAGCGGGGGACAACAUUUGGAAACAGAUGCUAAUACCGCAUAACAGCGUUGUUCGCAUGAACAACGCUUAAAAGAUGGCUUCUCGCUAUCACUUCUGGAUGGACCUGCGGUGCAUUAGCUUGUUGGUGGGGUAACGGCCUACCAAGGCGAUGAUGCAUAGCCGAGUUGAGAGACUGAUCGGCCACAAUGGGACUGAGACACGGCCCAUACUCCUACGGGAGGCAGCAGUAGGGAAUCUUCCACAAUGGGCGCAAGCCUGAUGGAGCAACACCGCGUGAGUGAAGAAGGGUUUCGGCUCGUAAAGCUCUGUUGUUAAAGAAGAACACGUAUGAGAGUAACUGUUCAUACGUUGACGGUAUUUAACCAGAAAGUCACGGCUAACUACGUGCCAGCAGCCGCGGUAAUACGUAGGUGGCAAGCGUUAUCCGGAUUUAUUGGGCGUAAAGAGAGUGCAGGCGGUUUUCUAAGUCUGAUGUGAAAGCCUUCGGCUUAACCGGAGAAGUGCAUCGGAAACUGGAUAACUUGAGUGCAGAAGAGGGUAGUGGAACUCCAUGUGUAGCGGUGGAAUGCGUAGAUAUAUGGAAGAACACCAGUGGCGAAGGCGGCUACCUGGUCUGCAACUGACGCUGAGACUCGAAAGCAUGGGUAGCGAACAGGAUUAGAUACCCUGGUAGUCCAUGCCGUAAACGAUGAGUGCUAGGUGUUGGAGGGUUUCCGCCCUUCAGUGCCGGAGCUAACGCAUUAAGCACUCCGCCUGGGGAGUACGACCGCAAGGUUGAAACUCAAAGGAAUUGACGGGGGCCCGCACAAGCGGUGGAGCAUGUGGUUUAAUUCGAAGCUACGCGAAGAACCUUACCAGGUCUUGACAUCUUGCGCCAACCCUAGAGAUAGGGCGUUUCCUUCGGGAACGCAAUGACAGGUGGUGCAUGGUCGUCGUCAGCUCGUGUCGUGAGAUGUUGGGUUAAGUCCCGCAACGAGCGCAACCCUUGUUACUAGUUGCCAGCAUUAAGUUGGGCACUCUAGUGAGACUGCCGGUGACAAACCGGAGGAAGGUGGGGACGACGUCAGAUCAUCAUGCCCCUUAUGACCUGGGCUACACACGUGCUACAAUGGACGGUACAACGAGUCGCGAACUCGCGAGGGCAAGCAAAUCUCUUAAAACCGUUCUCAGUUCGGACUGCAGGCUGCAACUCGCCUGCACGAAGUCGGAAUCGCUAGUAAUCGCGGAUCAGCAUGCCGCGGUGAAUACGUUCCCGGGCCUUGUACACACCGCCCGUCACACCAUGAGAGUUUGUAACACCCAAAGUCGGUG